CCUUUCCAAUCCCUAUUUCCUCUUAAUCCCUAACCCUCAACUUUUACUUCAAUUUUUCCUUGCUUCUUGCUUUUUUCCUGUUGCCACCACUGCUGCUUCUCUUCAUUUUGCAGCUUUUCACUUUUUUCUUCCCCACUAUCACCAUUGUUGCUUUUCUACCUUCUACUGAUUUCCACUUCCACGCCAGUUGUUGGGCGUCGCUGCUGCUUUAGGCUUUUCUGCCUUCUGCAACCUUAGUUCCCCCAUUCAUAGGACUUCAGUUUUUAUGACAAUGGCUAGUUCGAAUACUCCAAUAAAUGUGGCUGAUGGAUUUAAUGAAUAUGAAGUGUCUCCAAACAUCAAAAGUCUACUACUUCAAAGGUGUGGGAUGAAAUGACAAAGCUUGAAUGUGAGAACAAAAACGAGUUGAAGGCACAAUAUAAUCACGAAAUUGAUUGCAACAAUGAUGAGAAUGGCGAUGAGGAUGAGGACGAUGAUGCUUCGAUUCCUUUUUCGGUUAUUUUUGGUGCUAUUUUGGGUGUUGUUUCACUAUUGUUCUACUACUGCCGUUGGGUUGGGCGCUAAUUUCUGCUGCUAUUCUGCGUGAUAUAUAGAUAUUGUAGAGCUUUUAAUUUUGUCAAUUUUCCAACAUCAUUUGCAUGAGAAUAUAACCUUGUUGUGGUUGGUUUUAGUUACCAAGUUAUUUCACUAAUUAUUAAAUUUCAUGUACUAUAAUUUAGCUUUAAUGUACUUCAAUGAAACAAAUUUAA